rnacentral:tRNA from 5 species
AACGCCGUAGUUGACAAAGGUUCAAUUUAAAAUUGAAUGGACGUGGGUUCAAAUCCCACCAGCUCCA